UGACUCAGGCGCGUGCAUUCUUCAAGAGGAAGGCGGAGUUCUUCACGAAACAGAUCGAAAAAGUACAGCCGGCCUUGCAGGAGAAAUACAGUGUGAAACAAGCUGUGGGGAGAGGUUGAAUCAGAAGAUC